GUCCACGCUGUAAACGAUGAGUGCUAGAUAUCGGGGGAAUUUCUCUCGGUUUCACAGCUAACGCAUUAAGCACUCCGCCUGGGGAGUACGGUCGCAAGAUUAAAACUCAAAGGAAUUGACGGGGGCUCGCACAAGCGGUGGAGCAUGCGGUUUAAUUCGAUGUUACGCGAAAACCUUACCAACCCUUGACAUGGUGGUCGCGGAUCGCAGAGAUGCUUUCCUUCAGUUCGGCUGGACCACACACAGGUGUUGCAUGGCUGUCGU
rnacentral:rRNA from 1 species